rnacentral:rRNA from 1 species
CAAGCGGUGGAGCAUGUGGUUUAAUUCUAAGCAACGCGAAGAACCUUACCAGGUCUUGACAUACCAUUGACCGUUCUAGAGAUAGGAUUUUCCCUUCGGGGACAAUGGAUACAGGUGGUGCAUGGUUGUCGUCAGCUCGUGUCGUGAGGUGGUGGGUUAAGUCCCGCAACGAGCGCAACCCCUGUCGUUAUUUGCCAGCAUUCACUUGGGGACUCUAACGAGACUGCCAGUGACAAACUGGAGGAAGGUGGGGAUGACAUCAAAUCAUCAUGCCCCUUAUGGCCUGGGCUACACACGUGCUACAAUGGUUGGUACAAAAAGAAACGAAACGGUGACAUGGAGCAAACCUCAUAAAGCCAAUCUCAGUUCGGAUUGUAGGCUGCAACUCGCCUACAUGAAAUUGGAAUCGCUAGUAAUCGCGAAUCACAAUGUCGCGGUGAAUACAUUCCCGGGUCUUGUACACACC